rnacentral:lncRNA from 8 species
GUCUGGCCUCUUCUUCUACUGCUUCUUCUACUGCUGCCUCUUCUUCUACUGCUGCUUCUUCUUCUUCUUCUACUGCUGCUUCUCCUACUGCUUCUUCUUCUACUGCUUCUUCUCCUACUGCUUCUUCUUCUACUGCUUCUUCUUCUACUGCUUCUUCUUCUACUGCUUCUUCUGCUUCUACUGCUUCUUCUACUGCUUCUUCUUCUACUGCUUCUACUGCUGCUUCUACUGCUGCUUCUACUGCUGCUUCUUCUACUGCUUCUUCUACUGCUGCCUCUUCUUCUACUGCUGCUUCUUCUUCUUCUUCUACUGCUGCUUCUCCUACUGCUUCUUCUUCUACUGCUUCUUCUCCUACUGCUUCUCCUACUGCUUUUUCUUCUUCUACUGCUGCUUCUCCUACUGCUUCUUCUUCUACUGCUUCUUCUUCUACUGCUUCUUCUUCUACUGCUUCUUCUGCUUCUACUGCUUCUUCUACUGCUUCUUCUUCUACUGCUUCUACUGCUGCUUCUACUGCUGCUUCUACUGCUGCUUCUUCUACUGCUUCUUCAUCCUACUGCUUCUUCUCCUACUGCUUCUUCUUUUACUGCUUCUACUCCUACUGCUUCUACUCCUACUGCUUCUUCUUCUACUGCUUCUUCUUCUACUGCUUCUUCUGCUUCUACUGCUGCUUCUCCUACUGCUGCUUCUUCUUCUUCCUCUACUGCUUCUUCUUCUUCUGCUGCUUCUUCUUCUUCUUCUACUGCUUCUUCUUCUACUGCUUCUUCUUCUACUGCUUCUUCUUCUGCUGCUUCUUCUUCUUCUUCUACUGCUUCUUCUUCUACUGCUUCUUCUUCUCCUGCUGCUUCUUCUUCUACUGCUUCUUCUUCUACUGCUUCUUCUGCUUCUACUGCUGCUUCUACUGCUGCUUCUCCUACUGCUGCUUCUUCUUCUUCUUCUACUGCUUCUUCUUCUCCUGCUGCUUCUUCUUCUUCUACUGCUUCUUCUUCUACUGCUUCUUCUUCUUCUUCUACUGCUUCUUCUUCUCCUGCUGCUUCUUCUCCUACUGCUGCUUCUUCUUCUUCUUCUACUGCUUCUUCCUCUACUGCUUCUUCUUCUUCUGCUUCUACUGCUGCUUCUACUGCUGCUUCUCCUACUGCUGCUUCUUCUACUACUGCUUCUUCUCCUACUGCUUCUUCUCCUACUGCUUCUUCUCCUACUGCUUCUUCUUCUACUGCUGCUACUGCUUCUUCUUCUUCUCCUACUGCUUCUUCUUCUACUGCUUCCUCCUCUACUGCUUCUUCUUCUACUGCUGCUUCUUUUUCUACUACUGCUUCAUCUUCUUCUUCUACUGCUUCUACUGCUUCUUCUUCUUCUACUGCUGCUUCUUCUCCUACUGCUUCUUCCUCUACUGCUUCUUCUUCUACUGCUUCUUUUUCUUCUUCUUCUACUGCUUCAUCUUCUACUGCUUCAUCUUCUUCUUCUACUGCUUCUUCUUCUGCCUCUACUGCUUCUGCUUCUUCUACUACCACUUUAACUACUGCUAAUAAUCUGUACUGCAGAAAGUAUUUUUCAUCUAAUGAUGAGGCUGUAUUCCACCUAUCCUCGAAAUAUAAUUUUUCUUUCGAGUCCAUCUUCCAUUUUCAUUGUUCAGUCAAACGUGUUUUUAUAGGAGGGUCGUUCUUGAAUUCCGGGGGUAUUCGGAGAAAAAAAUGCACUACCAUUCAAAUGUUUUGGGUCACUUAG